rnacentral:misc_RNA from 1 species
GAUGAAGAACGCAGCGAAAUGCGAUAAGUAGUGUGAAUUGCAGAAUUCAGUGAAUCAUCGAAUCUUUGAACGCACAUUGCGCCCCUUGGUAUUCCAUGGGGCAUGCCUGUUCGAGCGUCAUUUGUACCCUCAAGCUUUGCUUGGUGUUGGGUGUUUGUCCUCUCCUUUGCGUUUGGACUCGCCUUAAAGCAAUUGGCAGCCAGUGUUUUGGUAUUGAAGCGCAGCACAUUUUGCGAUUCUAGCCGAUAAUACUUGCGUCCAUAAGCCUUUUUUAACUUUUGACCUCGGAUCAGGUAGGGAUACCCGCUGAACUUAAGCAUAUCAAUAAGCGGAGGA